rnacentral:rRNA from 1 species
UACGUAGGUGGCAAGCGUUGUCCGGAUUUACUGGGCGUAAAGAGCGUGUAGGCGGCCAAACAGGUCCGUUGUGAAAACUGGAGGCUCAACCUCCAGACGUCGACGGAAACCGUGUGGCUAGAGUCCGGAAGAGGGGAGUGGAAUUCCUGGUGUAGCGGUGAAAUGCGCAGAUAUCAGGAAGAACACCCGUGGCGAAGGCGGCUCUCUGGGACGGUACUGACGCUGAGACGCGAAAGCGUGGGGAGCGAACAGG